rnacentral:lncRNA from 1 species
GCUAAGUCAUGCAUCUAGGGUUUCACACAACUCCUAUACGUAAAUGCACAAGCAUGUUACAGAAGGCAUGCGCGAGUCUGGUAAAACACAUAGGACUUUCAUGCAACCGGGGCUUGCCUUCAAGCAAGGAGGACGGGAACUGCUCGACGUCGGGGGCGACUCCGGCUUCCGCGGGCAGGAACUCGGCUACAGCUUCUUCUUCUGGCGCCGGGUGCAACUCGUAGAAGCCGUCGGCGAGGUGCAGCUCUACACGAAUGCAAUGCAAGGGUUAGCUUAGACAGUUAUUUCAACAGCAACACUGGUUCGCCUGCGCCCAGAAACUUGCGACAAAGAGCAGG